rnacentral:tmRNA from 1 species
GGGGAUGUUCUGGUUUCGACAGCACAUGUCAGGGACGGUAAGCACGUCGGGAGUAGGAGGCUGGCCCGUAUUCCUCAGCCUUCACGCCAAUAACUGGCAACUACAACUACUCAUACGCUUGCUAGUCUCUAAUGAGACGGCAUCAAUCAGGGCCGCCAAGGCUGCGGAACUGACGUAUAUCCCUCCAGUCUUUAGGCCGGUUAUGACGGACCAAGGGGUAUCAUUCAAACCGGAUGCACGGCGCAGACACCUCUAAGCGUCGCCAAGAUUCAGAGGAUAAGCUGCGGUCAAGGGCGCCUUCCCUCAUGCCGCCGCCGACAAUCAAAGGAAGGAUAAGCGCUUCCCUCAUGCCGCCGCCGACAAUCAAAGGAAGGAUAAGCGUGUAGAAAGCCCUUCAGGGCGGUGUUUGGACGCGGGUUCGACUCCCGCCAUCUCCACCA